UACGAGGGGGGCUAGUGUUGUUCGGAAUCACUGGGCGUAAAGGGAGCGUAGGCGGGUGCCUAAGUUGGGUGUUUAAUUCCGGGGCCCAACCCCGGGCGUGCACUCAAAACUGGGUUUCUUGAAUAGGGGAGAGGUCGGUGGAAUUGGAGGUGUAGCGGUGGAAUGCGUAGAGAUCUCCAAGAACACCCGUUGCGAAGGCGGCCGACUGGACCCAUAUUGACGCUGAGGCUCGAAAGCAUGGGGAGCAAACAGG
rnacentral:rRNA from 1 species